rnacentral:rRNA from 1 species
AUUGAACGCUGGCGGCAUGCCUUACACAUGCAAGUCGAACGGCAGCGGGGGAGAAGCUUGCUUUUCCUGCCGGCGAGUGGCGAACGGGUGAGUAAUACAUCGGAACGUGUCCUGUAGUGGGGGAUAACUAGUCGCAAGAUUAGCUAAUACCGCAUACGACCUGAGGGUGAAAGGGGGGGACUGCAAGGCCUCAUGAUAUAGGAGCGGCCGAUGUCUGAUUAGCUAGUUGGUGGGGUAAAGGCCUACCAAGGCGACGAUCAGUAGCUGGUCUGAGAGGAAGAUCAGCCACACUGGGACUGAGACACGGCCCAGACUCCUACGGGAGGCAGCAGUGGGGAAUUUUGGACAAUGGGCGAAAGCCUGAUCCAGCAAUGCCGCGUGUGUGAAGAAGGCCUUCGGGUUGUAAAGCACUUUUGUCCGGAAAGAAAUGGCUCUGGUUAAUACCUGGGGUCGAUGACGGUACCGGAAGAAUAAGGACCGGCUAACUACGUGCCAGCCGCCGCCGUAA